rnacentral:rRNA from 1 species
AGGAGAAAUCCGCUGUGAGAUGGGCCCGCGUCUGAUUAGCUAGUUGGUGAGGUAAAAGCUUACCAAGGCGACGAUCAGUAGCCGAUCUGAGAGGAUGAACGGCCACACUGGAACUGAGACACGGUCCAGACUCCUACGGGAGGCAGCAGUGGGGAAUAUUGCACAAUGGGGGAAACCCUGAUGCAGCAACGCCGCGUGGAGGAUGAAGGUCUUCGGAUUGUAAACUCCUUUGAUCGGGGAUGAAAAAAAUGACAGUACCCGAAAAACAAGCCACGGCUAACUACGUGCCAGCAGCCGCGGUAAUACGUAGGUGGCAAGCGUUGUCCGGAAUUAUUGGGCGUAAAGGGCGCGUAGGCGGUUAUUUAAGUCAGUUGUGAAAACUCUGGGCUCAACCCGGAGAUUGCAGUUGAUACUGGGUAACUUGAGUGCAGGAGAGGAUAGUGGAAUUCCUAGUGUAGCGGUGAAAUGCGUAGAUAUUAGGAGGAACACCAGUGGCGAAGGCGACUUUCUGGACUGUAACUGACGCUGAGGCGCGAAAGCGUGGGGAGCAAACAGGAUUAGAUACCCUGGUAGUCCACGCCGUAAACGAUGGGUACUAGGUGUAGAGGGUCUCGACCCCUUCUGUGCCGGAGUUAACACAAUAAGUACCCCGCCUGGGGAGUACGGCCGCAAGGUUGAAACUCAAAGGAAUUGACGGGGGCCCGCACAAGCGGUGGAGCAUGUGGUUUAAUUCGACGCAACGCGAAGAACCUUACCAGGUCUUGACAUCCUCUGACAGCCCAAGAGAUUGGGUGUUCAUCCUUCGGGAUGACAGAGAGACAGGUGGUGCAUGGUUGUCGUCAGCUCGUGUCGUGAGAUGUUGGGUUAAGUCCCGCAACGAGCGCAACCCUUGUUCUUAGUUGCCAGCAAGUAAUGUUGGGCACUCUAAGGAGACUGCCGGUGAUAAACCGGAGGAAGGUGGGGAUGACGUCAAAUCAUCAUGCCCUUUAUGACCUGGGCUACACACGUGCUACAAUGGCCUGUACAAAGGGUAGCGAAGCCGCGAGGUGAAGCCAAUCCCAAAAAGCAGGUCUCAGUUCGGAUUGUAGGCUGCAACUCGCCUACAUGAAGUCGGAAUCGCUAGUAAUCGCGGGUCAGCAUACUGCGGUGAAUACGUUCCCGGGCAU